rnacentral:lncRNA from 1 species
UUAGCUCUAUACAUACAGAAACACAGGCACGUGCGGUCCCGGAUACGUACUUAUCCCGCAAUCCCCACGGGAAGCGUGGCCGCCUGCCACUCCCCGGUUGCGGGGCCCGACGAGCUGCGGCGGCCCACGAGUGCCCCCUCCCGUAGCGGCGGGACAGCGCGGCGGGACAGCUCGGCGUCCCUGCCCCUGCCCCUGCCCCUGCCCCUGCCCCUGCCCCUGCCCCUGCCGCCGCCUUACCACAGCGCCCCAGGCGGGCUGGCGGACGGGCGCGGGGCGCCCCGGGGCUGCUUCUGCUCCUCAGGACGGGCCCGGGCCGCGCGGCCAGGCCGCGGUUUCGGAGUUGUGGUGGCUUCUGAGGGCCCGGAGGAACCGAGCUCGGCUUUCUUGGGUUGGUGGGGGGCACCAUACGGCCUCCUUCCUCGGCAGCGGCUGCUGAAUGUCUGCAAAGUACACCGGUGGUGUAAAGUAGGCAUUAAAGGGAUCCUAGAGAAGAGGGGAGUCCGGAGAGUUUCAAGUCCUUUGGUUAUUACAUUUAAUUCUCAGCAAUGUGAAAUCCAGCACCUCAAGAUGUCAGAAUUUCACUGGGACCAGAACUGACCCAAGAUGAAACUCAGGAUGACCAAAUGUGAAAUAAUUACGCAUGUGACGGAACACACAAUUCAAAUAAUAUGAAAUACUGGAGACACCGUGGAGACUUACUGGAGACAUGAACAUCAUAAAGUAUAUGUCUUCAAGCUGAUUCUAAAACAUCUAAAAUCACACAUAUGAGUGGUGACUUCAAAACAAAACUAUGUAUAAAAUUAAUAUCUGUGACAUUUUCUUCCCUGGUUAUUAUUCCAAAAUUAUAGCUCUUUGCUAACUCAGUUUGAUCCACU